UUGACUCUUCAAAGUUCUUGGAAUAGGGGUGGGUAAGGACGGUGCCAGCCGCCGCGGUAAUACCGGCGCCUCAAGUGGUAGUCGCCUUUAUUGGGCCUAAAACGUCCGUAGCCGGUCUGGUGCAUUCGUGGGUAAAUCAACCCGCUCAACGGGUUGAAUUCUGCGAGGACGGUCAGACUUGGGACCGGGAGAGGUGUGGGGUACGCUCAGGGUAGGGGUAAAAUCCUGUCAUCCUGAGCGGACCACCUGUUGCGAAGGCGCCACACUAGAACGGAUCCGACGGUCAGGGACGAAGCCUAGGGGCACGAACCGGAUUAGAUACCCGGGUAGUCCUAGGUGUAAACGCUGUGGACUUGAUGUUGGAGAAGCUCCGAGCUUCUUCAGUGUCGAAGCGAAGGUGAUAAGUCCACUGCCUGGGAAGUACGGUCGCAAGGCUGAAACUUAAAGGAAUUGGCGGGGGAGCACCGCAACCUGAGGAUUGUGCGGUUUAAUUGGAGUCAACGCCGGGAAUC
rnacentral:rRNA from 1 species